AUUGAACGCUGGCGGCAGGCCUAACACAUGCAAGUCGAGCGGAAACGAGUUAUCUGAACCUUCGGGGGACGAUAACGGCGUCGAGCGGCGGACGGGUGAGUAAUGCCUAGGAAAUUGCCCUGAUGUGGGGGAUAACCAUUGGAAACGAUGGCUAAUACCGCAUAAUGCCUACGGGCCAAAGAGGGGGACCUUCGGGCCUCUCGCGUCAGGAUAUGCCUAGGUGGGAUUAGCUAGUUGGUGAGGUAAUGGCUCACCAAGGCGACGAUCCCUAGCUGGUCUGAGAGGAUGAUCAGCCACACUGGAACUGAGACACGGUCCAGACUCCUACGGGAGGCAGCAGUGGGGAAUAUUGCACAAUGGGCGCAAGCCUGAUGCAGCCAUGCCGCGUGUGUGAAGAAGGCCUUCGGGUUGUAAAGCACUUUCAGUCGUGAGGAAGGUAGUGUAGUUAAUAGCUGCAUUAUUUGACGUUAGCGACAGAAGAAGCACCGGCUAACUCCGUUGCCAGCAGCCGCGGUAAUACGGAGGGUUGCGAGCGUUAAUCGGAAUUACUGGGCGUAAAGCGCAUGCAGGUGGUUUGUUAAGUCAGAUGUGAAAGCCCGGGGCUCAACCUUCGGAAUAGCAUUUGAAACUGGCAGACUAGAGUACUGUAGAGGGGGGUAGAAUUUCAGGUGUAGCGGUGAAAUGCGUAGAGAUCUGAAGGAAUACCGGUGGCGAAGGCGGCCCCCUGGACAGAUACUGACACUCAGAUGCGAAAGCGUGGGGAGCAAACAGGAUUAGAUACCCUGGUAGUCCACGCCGUAAACGAUGUCUACUUGGAGGUUGUGGCCUUGAGCCGUGGCUUUCGGAGCUAACGCGUUAAGUAGACCGCCUGGGGAGUACGGUCGCAAGAUUAAAACUCAAAUGAAUUGACGGGGGCCCGCACAAGCGGUGGAGCAUGUGGUUUAAUUCGAUGCAACGCGAAGAACCUUACCUACUCUUGACAUCCAGAGAACUUCCCAGAGAUGGAUUGGUGCCUUCGGGAACUCUGAGACAGGUGCUGCAUGGCUGUCGUCAGCUCGUGUUGUGAAAUGUUGGGUUAAGUCCCGCAACGAGCGCAACCCUUAUCCUUGUUUGCCAGCGAGUAAUGUCGGGAACUCCAGGGAGACUGCCGGUGAUAAACCGGAGGAAGGUGGGGACGACGUCAAGUCAUCAUGGCCCUUACGAGUAGGGCUACACACGUGCUACAAUGGCGCAUACAGAGGGCAGCAAGCUAGCGAUAGUGAGCGAAUCCCAAAAAGUGCGUCGUAGUCCGGAUUGGAGUCUGCAACUCGACUCCAUGAAGUCGGAAUCGCUAGUAAUCGUGGAUCAGAAUGCCACGGU
rnacentral:rRNA from 1 species